GCCCGCAUGGCUCAGUGGUAGAGCGUCUCACUCGUAUUCACGUGACUUGAAAAAGUGUAAUGAGAAGAUCCCUCGUUCGAUCCGGGGUGUGGGCA